GAUGAACGCUGGCGGCGUGCUUAACACAUGCAAGUCGAACGCACAUAUCUUUCGGGGUGUGUGAGUGGCAGACGGGUGCGUAACACGUGGGUGACCUGCCCUAGAGUGGGGAAUAACUAGUCUAACGGCUAGCUAAUACCGCAUAUGCUCACGGAGUCGGAUUUGUGAGUAAAGCCUUCGGGCGCUUUGGGAGGGGCCUGCGGCGGAUUAGGUAGUUGGUGGGGUAACGGCCUACCAAGCCGAUGAUCCGUAGGGGGCGUGAGAGCGUGGCCCCCCA
rnacentral:rRNA from 1 species